rnacentral:rRNA from 1 species
CCUACGGGGGGCUGCAGUAGGGAAUCUUCCACAAUGGGCGAAAGCCUGAUGGAGCAACGCCGCGUGGGUGAAGAAGGUCUUCGGAUCGUAAAACCCUGUUGUUAGAGAAGAAAGUGCGUGAGAGUAACUGUUCACGUUUCGACGGUAUCUAACCAGAAAGCCACGGCUAACUACGUGCCAGCAGCCGCGGUAAUACGUAGGUGGCAAGCGUUAUCCGGAUUUAUUGGGCGUAAAGGGAACGCAGGCGGUCUUUUAAGUCUGAUGUGAAAGCCUUCGGCUUAACCGGAGUAGUGCAUUGGAAACUGGGAGACUUGAGUGCAGAAGAGGAGAGUGGAACUCCAUGUGUAGCGGUGAAAUGCGUAGAUAUAUGGAAGAACACCAGUGGCGAAGGCGGCCUGCUGGACAUUAACUGACGCUGAGGCGCGAAAGCGUGGGGAGCAAACAGGAUUAGAUACCCGUGUAGUC